rnacentral:lncRNA from 1 species
GUAGAUGAAUGAUGAGAGAUAGAAGAUGACGUGAGUAUACAUUGGCAGCUAUAGACUUAGUGCCUAUGGGACAAACACCGGUAGCUAUGGACUUAGUACCUUUUAGACGUUGGUAGCUAUGGAUUUAGUACCUGUUGGGAAUUGGUAGCUAUGGACUUAGUACCUAUUAGUUAGACGCUGGUAGCUAAGGAUUUAGUACCUGUAGGAAUUGGUAGCUAUGGACUUAGUACCUGUUGAACAUUGGUAGCUAUGGACUUAGUACCUAUUAGAUAAAGACUGGUAGCUAUGGAUUUAGUACCCGAUGAAUAGACUAUAGCAGCUAUGGAAUUAGUGCUUUAUGAACGAACAUUGGCAGCUAUGGAUUUAGUGCCAGUCCCAUAACCCUGGAAGUAAGGGACUUCGGAAUAAACGAAUGCAGGAUAGAUGACUCUUAGGUUAAAUCCUUAAAGAGUAAAGAAGAUAAUGGGGAUGGGUAAUUGGGUUGAUUGUUUGAUUGAACAUAAUAAUUAUAUUAUUGUGGGUUGAAAACCCUAUGUACUCACCAGGUUUCCCAACCUGACCCACUCAGUUUAUGUAUAUCACAGGUGACGAAGUGAAGUGACAUUACACUGAGAGAUUUAAAAGAGAUGUAGAUCACUAGUGUAAAUCAUUGUAAUUCUGUUUAUGCUUAUGUUUCGGUAUUAACGAUGACAUCCCAAACAUUUUAAAAUGAAAUAAAUACGUUUCUUCGAAAAUGUUUUAAUAACGUAUUUACCAUGUUUUUCUGGGAACAAAUUCCGCAACCUUUUUAUAAAAUGAAGUACUCUGAUUUUUAUAAAGCAUAAACAAAAUCGGUCUUUUCUGGCCGUGAUUUUGGGGAUGUCACAGUUGGUAUCAGAGCAUUAGUUUAAGCGAACUAGGAAUAUGGAUUUAUUUCUAGACUUAAACUUAGAAUGCUAAGCGAUGAUUGUGAGGUGUGAGCACUAGCUUAUUUUAGGAAUUGUGCCUAAAAUGCUUUUAUGUGCUAAAUGCUUUGUGCAUGAUAUGUUGUUAAUUGUUCGGAUCUAUGGUCUGUUGCCGACCGGAUCUGGAAACCUUAUGUGUUUAGGAUUCUAAACGUACGACUACGGUAUUAGAACUAGCAUGUAAAUGUUUCGGAGUGAUAAGGAUGAUUUAAACGUCAAGUAAAGGUCUAAAUUCACCUUAUUCGGUGUAUAGAUCGAGAUGGUAAGGACCCGUAGCGGAAACGUAAACGCAAAUGGGAACAGGAACCAACCCCCAGUGGUUCAGCAAAUACCUGUUGUAGAAGAAGUUGCGCCUGAGCCAGUCACCAUGGCUGGAGUUCAAGCCAUGAUUCGGGCUAUGUUGGCUGAACAAAGGGAAGAAAUGAGACGGAUGUUGAAUAGGGACGAACCUACUAUGCCCAUUGAGCAACCCGAACUGAUUCCCGAGCAAUCUGAGGAAGGGAACUACAGCCGCCAAGUGAGUCAAGUUGGGACUCAAGGUGAGCAAAGGGAUGGCCCAGAAGGGAGAAACAACAAGGAUGGGCGGAUGUACAAGAACUUCUUGGGUGCGAAACCACCAAGCCUCUCAGGAAGCCCAAAGCCGGUUGAGGUUAUGGAUUGGAUCUCUGAGAUGGAGAUGGUGUUUGAGAGCUGCAGCUGUAAUGAGAAACAGAAGACUGUCUUUGCAGUAAGACAGCUGAAAACUGGAGUCUUGAGCUGGUGGAAGCUAUUGGCAGAUACGAUGCCACGAGGAGAAGCCUUAAGGAUGUCGUGGGAAGAGUUUUUGGAACAGUUGAAAAUGCAGUACUGCUCGGAGGUAGAUCUGAUAGACCUAAACAACGAGUUUCAGAACCUGAAGAAAGGGAAGAUGAGUGUUGAUGAGUAUGCCACCGCAUUUACCGAGAGGAUGAAGCUAUUUCCCUACUUGGUGCCUACUGAACUCUCCAAGAUUGAUAGGUUUGCUAACGGACUGCCCACUGACUUUGGUCCAAUGGUCAAAAUGGCAACUACCUUAAAAGCAGCUAUUAGGGCAGCUAAGAACGUAGAGGCCCAGAUAAGAGAAAAGGGUCUAGAAAAAGAUAAGGCAGGAGAGAAGCGAAAGUUUGAGGGAUCUUCGAGGUCGAACAAGGAAAGCAAAUUCUCAAAACUCGGAGGAGCAGAUGGAGGUGAAACAAGAUGGUGUGAUAAAUGCAAGAAGAAGCAUGGUGGGAAGUGCAACGAAGAAGUGACUUGUUACAAGUGUGGGAGGACGGGUCACUAUUCCAAAGACUGCACACAUAAUGACAAAGUAUGCUACGGAUGUGGAGGCAAGGGGCACAUGUCCAGAGACUGCCCAAGGAAAAAUAAAGCAGCAAGACCAGAAACGCCACCAAGGCCAAGGGCAUUUCACAUGAUCCUCGACGAAGCAGAGAACCAUGCGAGGAAUCAAGAAUGAGGACUUCUUACCCGAAGAUCGGAUUAUGCAGUAGCCAUAGUUUCGUAUGAUGUAGCCUAGUAGAGGCAUAGUCUAGGGUGAACUUGAACACCUAUGUAAUCGUUUCAAGAAUUAAUAUAAAACCUUCGUUUUGUUAUCUGAUGUGUCGAAUGAUUGUGUGAUUUGCUGCAUGGUGACUUGGGAAACUGCGAGACAAUACUUGGGACGAGUAUGAGUAGGUGUGAAUGGUAGUAGAGGCCUAUACUACCGGAAGCACAGGACUCACACUUGGAUCAGGGAAAGUCACAAGGUUACCAAGAAGCUAGUAAUUGAUUUCGUUUUAUUCAAGUGUGUUGUUACCAUCGUUUCGGUAAUGACUAAGAAGAUUGUUGAUAUUCCGACCCUAGUGGUCAUAUCGAAUCGAGUCCGACUACGAUGAGUAUGUUGUGUGGUUCAGAGAACCAAGUUUGAUGUAGCGUCCGACUUAAACCAAACGGUUGAAAUCAAAGCGAUCAAUAGAAGUAUCGCACUCGUUGUUAAAGAAGUUGGUGGCUAGAAAUGCCUAAUGUUAAAGUGUGAUUAUAUCACAUUAGAACAUGAAGGAAGGCAUAGUCUGUUUUAGAAUUUAACUCUAAGAGACCUAAGUCUAAGUGUUGCAACAUACGAUGAUAGGUCAUUAGAAUAUGACACAUCGAUCUAUAGUAGUAAUAAAAGAACUUAUCUCAAGUCCGUAUCCAGCAAGGAUCGAGAUUGUGACUUGAAGGUCAUAAUUUGGAGUCUAACCUGAGGUAGAGAGCAGGUGCACGAUCGAGUACUCUUACAGUCAAUGAGUUUAAGAGAUAGAAUCGAAGGAAUGUAGAAGUUAUAAUUAUUACCUAGGAUGAAGAGAUGACGUAUGGAGUCAUUAUACGACCCUGUUUCGUUGAUGAUUCCGGGACGUAAUCAUCCUAAGGGGGAGAUAAUUGUAACGCCCGCAAAUCUGGGCUAGUCAAAUUAGAGGCAAUAGGGGUCGAAAACGACUUUUCGACAAAAGAUUAUUUAGAAUAAAUAAUCUUAACCAAGUUGUAGAGUAUGUUACAAGGUUUUCGUACAUAUAAAGAACGCCGAAAACCGAGUUAUAACGAAGAAGUUAUGACCCGUUGAAGUUUCGCGACGGAACCGGCACGAUACCGGGAAGCGUAAAUAGUGAAUUUACGAUAGAGCGAGAUUUAGCCUUAGCGAUCUAAACGAAAGUCGUAGAAUAUGUUAAACUAAGAACAUCGAUAAAAAGAACGCCCAAAUCUGACUUCGUAUGAGGAAGUUAUGAUUUUUCUAAGAUUUAGCAUAGCAGUGCACAGCCCGAAAUCUGAAUUUUAGAUCGGUCGAUUUUUAGCCGACGGGAUCUAAAUGAAAGUUGUAGUACUCGUAAAUACCAACGCGUGGAUAUAAAGAACGUCGAUAAUAGAGCUCGUAUGCAAAAGUUAUGGACGAAGCUUAGUCCCUACUUUUCGAGCGCGGCGAAUUCGAUACAGUUUUGUAAAUACGAGAUAGAAUGAGAAUUAGCCAACGAGGUCUAAAUGAGAGUUGAAGAUCUCAUUAAUAGGAACUCAACGGUAAAAAGACAGACAAAAAUGGAGCUCGUAUGCGAAAGUUAUGGACGAAGCUUAGUCCCUACUUUUCGAGCGCGGCGAAUUUGAUACAGUUUUGUAAAUCCGAGAUAGAAUGAGAAUUAGCCAACGAGGUCUAAAUGAAAGUUGAAGAUCUCAUUAAUAGGAACUCAACAGUAAAAAGACAGACAAAAACGGAGCUCGUAUGCAAAAGUUACGGACGAAGCUUGGAGACUACUUUACUAUACACUUCCUAUAAAUACAAGGGUGAACUCCUCAUAUUUUCUUCACACCAUAAGCCUUUCUUUCUCUCUCUAACUUCUCUCUAACCUCCCUAAACCCCUCCCAAGUCUAGGGAACCUCCCUAUCACGAGAAGAAAGCCCCGGAGCGCCCGACGGCUCCGAGAAGAAAAGCUUUCGGCUCGGAAACGCUGCUCCAGCGAAGCCCGGUUUUUAAUAAAAACCCGCUGUAAGUGAGCUACGCCUAUAGUAUAUUUAAUAUAGAUUUUAUUUAAUUAUAGUAACAUUGUUAGGACCUUAAAAUAAUUAUUUAGGCUAUUAUUAUGAGUUAUAUUGAGUGUUAUUUAACGCUUAUAUAAUAGUAAUAAUAGCUAGACUAUUAAAUUAGUCUCGUCAAGCGUUAGACUAAACUCUAGUGGUAAUGAUACUAGGUUUCGUCAAGGGAUAAUUGUUUUAAGAGUAACGAAGUGCUGUCCGAGUGCCGACUCACCACCUUUCAGGUGAGUGCAUAGUCCCUUUCAUCUUACACAUAGAUAUGAAGUAUUUUAUAUAAACUACGUGCUAUGUGUGCACAUUAUCUGAAUACUUGCUGUCUAUGCUGGUUGAACGUUUUAUACAUGUUUUAAAGGACUUAAACUGUAUACGUAUUUUAUAUAUACGAAAAUGUUGGGUAUGAGAUGGGUAGAUGAAUGAUGAGAGAUAGAAGAUGACGUGAGUAUACAUUGGCAGCUAUAGACUUAGUGCCUAUGGGACAAACACCGGUAGCUAUGGACUUAGUACCUUUUAGACGUUGGUAGCUAUGGAUUUAGUACCUGUUGGGAAUUGGUAGCUAUGGACUUAGUACCUAUUAGUUAGACGCUGGUAGCUAAGGAUUUAGUACCUGUAGGAAUUGGUAGCUAUGGACUUAGUACCUGUUGAACAUUGGUAGCUAUGGACUUAGUACCUAUUAGAUAAAGACUGGUAGCUAUGGAUUUAGUACCCGAUGAAUAGACUAUAGCAGCUAUGGAAUUAGUGCUUUAUGAACGAACAUUGGCAGCUAUGGAUUUAGUGCCAGUCCUAUAACCCUGGAAGUAAGGGACUUCGGAAUAAACAAAUGCAGGAUAGAUGACUCUUAGGUUAAAUCCUUAAGAGUAAAGAAGAUAACGGGGAUGGGUAAUGGGGUUAAUUGUUUGAUGAUUAAACAUAACAAUUAUAUUAUUGUGGGUUGAAAACCCUAUGUACUCACCAGGUUUCCCAACCUGACCCACUCAGUUUAUGUAUAUCACAGGUGACGAAGUGAAGUGACAUUACACUGAGAGAUUUAAAAGAGAUGUAGAUCACUAGUGUAAAUAAUUGUAAGUUCUGUUUAUGCUUAUGUUUCUGUAUUAACAAUGACAUCCCAAACGUUUUAAAAUGAAUUAAAUACGUUUCUUCGAAAAUGUUUUAAUAACGUAUUUAUCGUGUUUUUCUGGGAACAAAUUCCGCAACAUUUUUAUAAAAUGAAGUACUCUGAUUUUUAUAAAGCAUAAACAAAAUCGGUCUUUUCUGGCUGUGAAAAUGGGGAUGUCACAGAUCAUAAGCCCAACACAUAUAAAUAUAACUAAUUAACAUAAUUAGUCCCCAUAGAUUUAAUUAGUCUCUUUUGAUCACUAAAUUAAUUCCAAAUUAAUUCUUGAUCAAUAUUAAUUAACUCAUAUGAUUUCAUAUUAAUAUAUUAUAACUUAUAAUAUAUUAAUAAAUCAUAUAUAACCUCUUCUCUCAAAACUCUAUCCUCACAAAUUGUCCUGAUGAUAUGCAACCCAAAUGGACCAUGCUACUCUCGGGUCGAGUACAUACCAAUAAUAGUUAUAGGCUUAGACAUCUAAUCCAACAACUCUCUGAUGACUAGAAUGUCUGAAACUGAGACCUG